rnacentral:rRNA from 1 species
AUGUUAGCGGCGGACGGGUGAGUAACACGUGGAUAACCUACCUAUAAGACUGGGAUAACUUCGGGAAACCGGAGCUAAUACCGGAUAAUAUUUUGAACCGCAUGGUUCAAAAGUGAAAGACGGUCUUGCUGUCACUUAUAGAUGGAUCCGCGCUGCAUUAGCUAGUUGGUAAGGUAACGGCUUACCAAGGCAACGAUGCAUAGCCGACCUGAGAGGGUGAUCGGCCACACUGGAACUGAGACACGGUCCAGACUCCUACGGGAGGCAGCAGUAGGGAAUCUUCCGCAAUGGGCGAAAGCCUGACGGAGCAACGCCGCGUGAGUGAUGAAGGUCUUCGGAUCGUAAAACUCUGUUAUUAGGGAAGAACAUAUGUGUAAGUAACUGUGCACAUCUUGACGGUACCUAAUCAGAAAGCCACGGCUAACUACGUGCCAGCAGCCGCGGUAAUACGUAGGUGGCAAGCGUUAUCCGGAAUUAUUGGGCGUAAAGCGCGCGUAGGCGGUUUUUUAAGUCUGAUGUGAAAGCCCACGGCUCAACCGUGGAGGGUCAUUGGAAACUGGAAAACUUGAGUGCAGAAGAGGAAAGUGGAAUUCCAUGUGUAGCGGUGAAAUGCGCAGAGAUAUGGAGGAACACCAGUGGCGAAGGCGACUUUCUGGUCUGUAACUGACGCUGAUGUGCGAAAGCGUGGGGAUCAAACAGGAUUAGAUACCCUGGUAGUCCACGCCGUAAACGAUGAGUGCUAAGUGUUAGGGGGUUUCCGCCCCUUAGUGCUGCAGCUAACGCAUUAAGCACUCCGCCUGGGGAGUACGACCGCAAGGUUGAAACUCAAAGGAAUUGACGGGGACCCGCACAAGCGGUGGAGCAUGUGGUUUAAUUCGAAGCAACGCGAAGAACCUUACCAAAUCUUGACAUCCUUUGACAACUCUAGAGA